rnacentral:misc_RNA from 1 species
UUUACAAAAAUAGCGACCACAAUACUUUACAUGCUAUUAACUUCUACUUACCUCAGAAGGUGGAGAAAAAAAAUUUUCAGUUUUCUUAUGUAGCUCUAGGUUUAAAAGAAUAUUUUCAUUUUUAUACUAUAAUCUAUUAAAGGUAGCCAAACAUAAACGUUUCAUGGAUUGUCACUAUCUAACUAAAGACAGGACGGAAAUGAUUAUUCUGAUUCAAAAUGACCUUCAUAAUCAACUUUCGCUAUCUGGUUAUCCACACGCUUUUAUCUCAAUUUAAAGAAUAUUGCAACAUUUUUUUUAUAUAUAUUUUUUUUAGUCGGAUGAUAAUACACUUCCUUUUUUUUUCAGCUGGGAUAUUCAAAGGUAUCAAAUGAAACAUUCAAUGCCAUUCUCCUUUUUUUAAUUUUUAGGAAUUAAUACAUUCCUGACAAUCAGAAAAUAUUUGAGAACAUUGGAGAAAAGGAAAAGAAUUGAUGACAACUCAACCAUAUAUAAAUUGAGUGAUCUGUGUUUUCAAGUUGAAGACAGAGAAACAGAACGUCAUGAUCGCUUCAAAGCAUUCCAGGAAAUUUUUUUCUGUUUAAAAGAAGCUUCAUUGGCCGAUAUGUCAGAAGAAUUUGAAAAUCGUCAUGCCACAACAACAAGAAAGUGCUCACUUCAAGUGAGGAGGAAUUUCUUAAUUCUUCAAACACUCCAUGCAUUUGCCAGUAAUUAUUGCGAACAGAAAAGGAUGCUGGAAACUUUAGAUCUAAUUUGGAGAUCUAUACCUGAUACAUAUGUUAAUCCAUUCGAGUUGAUGAAUAUUCUUUAUGAGGGUCGAUAUUUCGUGAAAAAAGAAAGUGUUUCUUUGACUCAAGAAGAAUAUGCCAAAAGUGAAAUUCUCGGAUAUAACAAUAUCGCAAACCCUAGAUCUUUGAAACAUCUUUGCCGAUGCGAAAUAAGACAUUGCCUCGCAAAAAACCAUCAGUUACCUAAUGGAGUGCAUGCUUUAAUCAUGCCAUCAGAACUCAAAUCUUUUUUGCUGUUAGAACGAUGAAACCGGAGUACAAUUUGUUUAUUUCUGAAAUUGAUGGUUUACUUAAUAUUAAUAGACGAUAAAAACUAAGUACAGUGCUCAAAAAAUACACAAAAACGUAGUUUUUCUGAAUAAACAUACUUUUUUUUCGUUGGAUUCAGAUUUCUGCCUCGAAAAUAAAGGGUGUAGCCAUGAUCUGGGAAAUAUUGUCUUAAUAGUUUGGUCAAGAGAGCGAUCCAAAGUUUUGACCCCUUAAUGUUAAUUUAAUUUUUUUUUUUCGUAUUUCACCAUAUCUCGAGAAAUCUUUUAACAGACUGAAGAAUUAAUAUUAAUAUUACAUUACAUUAUUAAAAUUAUAUUAAAAAUUAACAUUAUUGAAAAUUAAUUGAACAUUAAGGGGUCAAAACUUUCGACAGCUGUCCUGACCAAAUUAUUGGAACCAUAUUUCCCAGAUUGCGGCUACUCCCUAUCUCUUAAAAAGCAGAAAUCUGAAUCAGAUAUGUUUGAUUAGAGAAAAUACAUUUUUGUACUUCAUAACUUAAAAUAUCGUCUACUUAAUAACUUCAUAACUUAAAAUAUCGUCUAAAUAAUUAACAUAUUUAAAGUCGCCCCCUCGACCCAUUAAGAUUGAAUCCCAGAACGUGAAGAUCCAAUCAUUGGAUAAAAAGUUAUUCAGGGUUGUCCAUUUUUUUUCUUCCUGGCGCACUGUUCUUAUGCAAAUUGUUUCACUAUGCAAUGCAUGUAAAACAAACAAUUCGUUAUUUCUUCACAAUGAUUUUUAAAACUAAAAAAAAGGAAUAAAAAUAUAUAAACGAGUACUAAGCGUAUUUCAACCUAUUUUGGACUUUUGAUCAAAAAUUUAUCUUAAACACAAAAAUCGAAAAUUAUCUAUGCAAGUAUGUAAAAUUGUUUUACGAUGCAAUGCAUAUAAACAAACUCUUUUACAUUUUUUCGAUGAUUUUUAAAGCUAAUCUAUGAACCUAAGUGCGUUUUAUUCAAAUCACUCUCAAAUAUUAAAUUAUAUCUAACUCUGGAAUUUUAAAUGUGUGAGCCUAUUUAUAUAUAAUUUCAGUUGUACUGUUUGUUCAUUAAAGAUGUUUAACUGAA